rnacentral:rRNA from 1 species
AACGAACGCUGGCGGCAGGCUUAACACAUGCAAGUCGAGCGCCCCGCAAGGGGAGCGGCAGACGGGUGAGUAACGCGUGGGAAUCUACCCAUCUCUACGGAAUAACGCAUGGAAACGUGUGCUAAUACCGUAUAUGUCCUUCGGGAGAAAGAUUUAUCGGAGAUGGAUGAGCACGCGUUGGAUUAGCUAGUUGGUGGGGUAAAGGCCUACCAAGGCGACGAUCCAUAGCUGGUCUGAGAGGAUGAUCAGCCACACUGGGACUGAGACACGGCCCAGAGUCCUACGGGAGGCAGCAGUGGGGAAUAGUGGACAAGUGGCGCAAGCCUGAUCCAGCCAUGCCGCGUAAGUGAUGAAGGCCCUAGGGUUGUAAAGCUCUUUCACCGGUGAAGAUAAUGACGGUAACCGGAGAAGAAGCCCCGGAUAACUUCGUGCCAGCCGCCGCGGUAAUAC